UCCUCCUUUUUAGGACGUGGUUGAGCAACUAUUAAUCGAGUAAAUAAUUUCACCGAGCAAACCCAAGGUCGUUAGGUGAUUGAAACAGGAGCUUGUUGGCUGGAGAGCAAGAGUGGUCAUGGUCAUGCUGAUGAACUUGUUUAUCAAACACUUAUUUAUUACGUUCGUUUAAUAUUUACUUUAUGGUAUCUUCACGCUUCCGCUGAACUUAUGGAUUUGGAUGACUUAUGUUUGGGAUUU